rnacentral:rRNA from 1 species
AUUGAACGCUGGCGGCAGGCCUAACACAUGCAAGUCGAGCGGAGCGGCGGACGGGUGAGUAAUGCCUAGGAAUCUGCCUGGUAGUGGGGGAUAACGUCCGGAAACGGGCGCUAAUACCGCAUACUAUCAGAUGAGCCUAGGUCGGAUUAGCUAGUUGGUGGGGUAAAGGCCUACCAAGGCGACGAUCCGUAACUGGUCUGAGAGGAUGAUCAGUCACACUGGAACUGAGACACGGUCCAGACUCCUACGGGAGGCAGCAGUGGGAAAUAGUGGACAAUGGGCGAAAGCCUGAUCCAGCCAUGCAGUGUGGGUGAAGAAGGUCGUCGGAUUGUAAAGCACUUUAAGUUGGGAGGCGGUACCUGAAGAAUAAGCACCGGCUAACUACGUGCCAGCAGCCGCGGUAAUAC